ACUAUUACGUCAUGAGACAAAACAUGGUGUUGGAAGUGGAGGUGGUGGAGGAAGUUGCUGUGGAGGACACAGUUGAAUUAAUGACUGAGGAUCUGUUUGCAGAUGGUUUUCUGGAUGUUGAAUUUUUGCAGCUCUACCCACCAUAAAGACCUGGGUGACUUUCAUGGUGCUCUGAUUUUACUAAUGUUCUCAAGUAAUGUCUCUUCAGAUGUGAUUUUAUCUUUUACAUAUUUCCCUGUUUCAUCUUUAAUGUUGUGUGUUAUUUGUUUUACAGAUGUCCAUUAAUAAAGUUUUUUAAAAGUUC